GGGCUCAUUAAAAUAAAUUCAAAUAAUACUAAAAAAGAAACGAUAUUACUCAAAAUUCAACUUCUUCCAGACUUUUUAAUAAUCAUUCAUAUAUAGAUAUUGUACCAAUUAGCAAUUGCCACAAAAAAAAACCUAUGUAACAAACCAUCCUAGAACUUAGUGGCUUCAAACAAUCAUGUGUUUUUAUGAGCUGCAGAUUGUCAUAGUUUGGCUGACGGAGGCUGGGCUCAGUGGAUGCCUCUGCUGAUCUUGGCUGGGCUUACUCAUUCCUUUGGGAAUUGGCUUAGGGUUGGCUGAUUGGGGCUGGUCUUGGCUGGUGACUUAAUUCUGCAUAUCCCUCAUCCACCUCCUGAGACCAGUGGGUAGCAUAAGAAUUUUCUUCUCAACAGCAAAAGAGACCAACUGAAACCACUCCCAGAACUGGUACAUCCAUCACUUCUGUCUCAUCCUUUCAGGAGGUCACAAGUCCUAAAAAGGUGUCUACAGCGUUGGUUUCUUCCGGACGCUCUAGGGGAGGACCCCUUUCCAGAGACGCCCCCAUUCCUUGGCUUAUGGCCCCUUCCUGUCUUCAAAGCCAGUGGCCCAGCAUCUUCUAAUCUCUCUCUCUCUCCGGUCACAUCUCCUCCUCUGACUCUGAUGGUUCUGCCUCCUUUCUUCCCUUAUAAGGACGCUUGCAAUUAUAUUCGGUCCACCUGGCUAAUCCAGAGUAUUCUCCUCAUCUCGAAAUCCUUAAUCACGUCUGCAAAGUCCCUUUGCCAUGUCAGGUGACACACUCACAGGCUUCAGGGAUUAGAGUGCAGACAUCCUAGGCAGGGGCAGGGGACAUUAUUCUGCCAGGCUCAGUGGCCUUGCCUAGGAACUGGCCACUCCAUGCCUCAGGGCCACGUCGGAAAGUCAGGGGGGAUAACAGUAACAGAGGCAGUGGAAGUCAUAGUAUAGAAGGAAAAAGAGUGAUAGAAAUAGUCAUGGCAAUGAUUAUGGAGAUGUGAGGAUUGAUUUUCUAUGUAAGUCUGUAGAAGAGCAUCUGACUAAUAAAUGUUCAAAACACAUCAACUGUCAAAUACAUUUUAUUAGUGAUAUCUCUAGCACUGUGCCACAGGCCCUAUGAGCUGUAACAGCCUAUAAAAUGAUUUUGAGAUUAGAAACAAUGUAUAUAUGACAAAAUAAUUUUAUUUAUUUACUUUAAGAUGGGGUCUCUG
rnacentral:lncRNA from 10 species